CUAAGUUUAGGGGUUAGUGCACUUCCUACUCAGUUGCCUGCACCAAACGUCAGGCCUAUUGCUCUGUAGCUUCCCAGACUCCUCCCCCCUCCCCAAAUCCUUCCAACUGCACCCCCAAUCCUUCCACCGCAGCACCGGGGAUGGACUCAUAAGGUGCCAAUGCUGGGGAAGCUCACUGGAAAGCACCUGAAGCUGUUCCCAGCCCUUUCCAUCAAGGGAGCUCUCCAGGCCUCAGCUCUGGCCCCAUCUAGUCACAGAAUCUCAGGAGGCUUGGGGUUGGAAGGCACCUCUGGAGACCAUUUGCCCAAGCCCCCUUCACAGUCACCCAGAGCAGGUUGCUCUGGACCAUGCCCUCUUACCUUUUGACCUUCUCUGAGGACAGAGACUCCACAACCUCUCUGGGCAACCUGUUCCAGUGUUUCACCACCCUUUCUUUCAUUCUAAUGUCCCCUAUUUCAAUUUGUGCCCAUUGUGCCUCACCCUGUCACUGGAUUCCACAGAGAAGAGUCUGGCUUCGCUUCUUUACCCCACCCAUCUCCAGUCAGGUAUUUAUACACUUUGACAAGACACCCCCCCGAGCCUGCUCUUCUCCAACAAAAAGGAGCAGAGCACUCUCAGCCUCUCUUUGCAUGGCAUGUGCUCCAGCCCCUUUCCCAUCUUAGUGGCCCUUCUCUAGACUUGCUCCAGGACGUCCACACCUCACUUUUACCUGGGAGCCCAGAACCAGCGCUCCAGAUGCGUCUCACCAGCACUGAGUAGCAGGGAAGGAUUGCUUCCCUUGGUCUUGCCGGCAAUGCUCUACAUAAUGCAGCCCAGCAGACUGUUGGCUGCCUUUGCCACAAGGGCACACUGCUGGCUCCUGGUCAACUUUCUGUCCACAGGUGCAUGGAGUUACCUCUCACCAGUUGCAUCUCUCUUUGUUGAACUUCAUGAUUCAUAUAAUCAUAGUCUCAUUUAGGUUUCAGAAGACCUUUAAGAUCAUGAGAUUCCUCUUGGCUCAGUUCUCCAGCUUCUUGAGGUCAGUCUGAGAGGAAGCUCAACUACCUUGUGAAUCAACCAUUCCUCCCAGUUUUGCAUCUUCUGCAAGGUUGCACUCCAUCCCAUCAUGAAGAUCUUUAUUAAAGAUGCUAACCAGCAGUGGCCCCAGCACAGAUCCUUGGAGCGUACCACUAGUUACUGGCCUCCACCUAGACUUUGUGUCACUCAUCGCAAUCCUUCAAAUCCAGAAGUUCAGUCAGUUUUCAAAUCCUCCUCACUGUGUUUACAUAAAGUCCACAUUUCAUUAGUAUAUCUACGAGACUGUUAUGGAGACUGUGUCCAAAGCUUUACUAAAGUCACAAUAAACAAUAUCCAAUGCUCUUCCCCUGUCCACUAAGCUGGCCAUUUCAUCACAGGCUACCAGUUUAGGUAGGCAUGAUUUCCCUUUUGUAAAUCAAUGCCAGUUACCCCUAAUCAGCUUCUUGUCCUUAAUAUGUUUGCAGAUGACUUCCAGGAGGAUUUGCUCUGUCUCAGUCCUAGGGGUCAAGGUGACACUGGCUGGUCUGUAGUUCCCUGGAUUCUCUUUCUCGGGCUUCUUGAAGAUAGGCAAGAUAGUUGCUUCCUUCCACGUCCCCUGAUCUCUAUGACCUUUCAAGAGUAACAAAGAGCGGUCUCACAAUUACAUCAGCCAGUUUCCACGCACUCGUGGAUGCAUCCCAUCAGGUCCCAUCAUUCAGUUCUGUUCAUUCAGUCCUGACAUGUAUUCCACGGAACCAGUGAUACACAAAGAGACUGUAACAUGCAUCCCCCACAAGGAGGGAUUACAGUAUACAAAAACAUUCCUCUUACCUGUAGCCAGAUGCAGAAAUUAAUUUUGGUUUGCUUCAAACUUAUCUCUGAACUCCCUUCCAAUCUCUUAUCUCCUACUGACCUUCUGCCUCUCUUAGCAGGCUUCCUGUUCCUUCAGCAGUUGGAAAAAAAAUAACUUUGAUAGUUUUAAUAUCUAAUGUUAUUUUUUUUUCAAACAAUGUUAUCUAUAGCCUAACAGUGCUUUCAUAUUUAACUUGCCAGACUACCUAAUUUUUCCCCUGGACACAGAUUCUAUUUUGUGAAGAGUACUUUCUUACUUCUCAUACCUCUACCACCAUACUGCAGAGCCCCCGGCAGCUGCUAUUUGGCUCCAUCAUUACACACAAAUUUAAAGAUCAAGAUCUCAUCUUGAGCUGUAUUGGCAGCGUGCAGCUGAAGUGACUUCCUCCUGUAGUUUUCUCUUCUGGGCUAUGCCUAUUCAUUUGCAUUCCAGGCAUGGUUGCAAAAAAGGUACCAGAGGGACCACAGCCAAGUGCACACAGGGAAUGGUCACAAAUACUUGAGAGAGAUAAACCUGAAGUAUGUAAGAAAGACCAGAGUGCCAGUGUUCACGAAUGGCAUAUCCAAACAGACCAUGUGGUUUUCCUCUUCUCUCCUGCUGAGGACAAACCAGCCCUAGCAAACCUCAGCUCCCAACAUGUAUAUGAUUAAGGCAGGUAACUGCACUUUCCCCCAAGAAGGGCUCUUAACUGCUUUGCACCACAGCCUUCCUGGGCUACACAUUUUGGGGGAGGGAGAAGAAACAGCGGGGAGAAGAACAAGGGAACAAAGCCCUACAGAGCAUUACUACUUACUGUGCAACCUAGAACCCCCCCAGCACAAGUGCUCCCGGCAUAGGAGCACUCUCAGCUAGCACAGAGAAAAUAAUCAUUCAGUUUCUUCCCAGGGGAACAGGGUCCAGGACUACCCUACUGAUCCUUCCUUACUCCUCUUCUGUUGCACUGUCCAGUUCUGCAUCUCCAGCCCCCGCCCCUGGCUUCUCUCCUUGAUGUGCUGCACACCAGGGUACCAGCUAACCUUCAUGAGCUCAAGGAUAAAGGAGACAGGGCAAGAAACAGCUAGUGCCUUCUCACCACUUCCCAUCAUCGCUGACUGCAUAUCAAAACCAAAGAAAGCACAGGCAACUAUUUCACAUCUCAAGGGAAAACUGUUUCCCUGGCUCUUGACUCACAGAGUCACAAUGAAACUCCAGCACACCAGAUCCCCACCAAUCCUUUCACAGCCUCUCAAAAUGCUCCCACGAACUCCAGGGUCUUUAGAUCAGGCUCUGAAAAAGCAGCUGGGAAAACGAACAAGCUUUCCACUUUUAGGCCUACAAGACCACAGACCCUGUCACAACUAAGGGAGGCUGUAGCCCACCACCCAGGGAAAAAGCAACACAGUUUCUCAUGGAGUUUCCUAUUUCCAUAACAUCCAGACCUUCAGAGUGAGACUAAAACACCUUGCUUCACAGAGACUGCAGGUCAUGAAUGACAGGGCAGUAUCUGAUUGAAUUAGGAAUCAGUACCACACACUGUGCUUUCCUCUGUUCCCUCUGCUGAAGUCCCAAAGAUAGCAUGUAGUCAUGGUCUGCAGAGCCUUCUUUCCACGUGUGCUUAGGCUCAACUUGUCUCAUGUUCAUUCCACAUUCCUAAUUUUAGUGAUUCACUUCAGGACACAACUUUAAAAUGCUUUUCUGCAUAAUAACUAACAGAUUGCUCAGACCUACCACCAACGCCUCGCAGAACAAAAUGAAACAUCUUGGCAGAGAGUAGUAAAAACUGUAUUUAUUUUUCUUUCACAAGACAAAGGGAAAAAGACCAAAGGCUGCUUUGGUUUGAUUCUCUCCUUAUCAAACCUCAGAACAUUGACUCUACAGGGGGAAAAAAACCAAACAACACCACUCCACUUAUCCAAAAAGGCACUUUCCUAGAAUAAGCAGUGUACAUCAAGCCAGAUAUUUAUUGCAGUGGGUCCCAAACACUCCCAUAAUCAGUUCAUGUUAUUGCCACAGUAGAGUUCCCUGUUAUGCCUUUAUGAUCACCAACCACCAUUUUACCAUCUCUGGUAAGGGUUCCUAGCUCACUAAGAUUUCUGUUGUUUAGCCCAGAGGGCCCAAAACAGAAGGAACCAGUAGAAGGAGAGACCAUGCCUCACUGACCACACACUAGGCCAGGGCACAGAGUAGUGACAGUAGGAAUUGAAAACAGCAUUCAUUUAUACCACUUUAGUGUGUUGAAGAAUGCUUAUGCAGUCAGGAAGAUCUGCUCUUUCCCCACGAAGUCUUUGUUCUUAUAGAUGUUCAGUGUUGGGAGAGCUGCAGACAUUCAAAAUCCAGGAUAUACCAUAAAGCUGGGCAGAACAAAGGGGCAGCACUACAUACGUACACGCAUGUGGCACCAGCCACUGGAAGGGUGUUUCUGACACCUUCUUCACUCCAGAGUAGCUACUUGUGCACAGACCACACACCCUGCCCAACUUACAGGCAUGUAGCUUUCGGUCAAAUCACCACUGGCCUCCGAUCAGUAUCAGACAGCUCAGCAUUAAAAAAAAAAAAAAAAAAAAAAAAA